ACUAAAUAGACCACAGAAGAGCAAAUCUGAUGAUGCCAGCAAAGACUCGGAGUGGCAGGAUUACUGUGAUUACUGAGGCUGAUGUCUCGAGGAAGCAAAAACAUGGGCAGACUUACUAAUUUUAUUUCCUCUUUUACUCCUAUAAGGUCACUUUGUAGGAGGACUCUUCUGACAAUUUUAUUUAUGUUUUUUAAUAUCUGGCAUAGGGAAGAAGCCAACAAAUGACAUUUCUGGUGAAGUCACGACAACGCAGUGUGCAUGGGGUAAAAAAUGGUUCCAUCGCCAAGAGCGUUAAGUUCUGCUCGUCAAUGAGGCAACUCGGACUUGACAGUUGAGGGUGUCAGGCCAACAUUCCUUCAGUGCAGAAAGAGCGAGCAGAGGGUCAGCUGUAGAAGCAAAGGUGUAGACAAUGAAAUCAAAUAGAUGACGUGGAGAGACCCAGUGUGCUCAAUCCACGGGAACUGCGAAAACCUUCUCGUCAGUGUGGUGGACUGAGCCCCACACGCUAAACAUGCUGGACGAAAUACACUGAGGGAAAAAGUUUUAAAUACAUCCCCAGGAGCACACACAGAAAGGAAAAUCCCCAGGUGCCUAAGCCAAGGAAACCAGCAUAAGAAGAGUCACCAGCUGCCGAAGAGGUGGGCAGGGGACCGAGGGCUGGCCAACCAAAAUGCACCCCUGCUGGCCACAGGGGUGAGUAUAAGAAAGUACAGUCUGAAGAAGGGCGGGUGCCCCAAGCUCGUCCCUACGUAUCUUUCCUGGAACUUUUUUCUGGAACUACCAGCACAAUCACUUUUUCUCCCUCCACUGGAGCUGCUAAGCUGUGUGGAUUUAGAGCUAGGAUUCUGGGCAUUGGCUUGUCCAGCAUGUGGAGAAAGUCUGCUGGAAAAUGGAGAGAAAUAUGGUCUCCUGAGGGCAUUGUUUGAGCCCCUGAAGCCACAUAAGCCCCUGGAUCGGUCGAUAAUGCACGUCAAUGAAUCCUUUUGUUCCUAAGCUAGUUCAAGUUGGAUUUGUAUACUAACCCAAUCAACCACCGCCUCCACUUCCCAAUCCUGCUGACCUCCUCGAGAGAACAACUGUCAACAGUUGAUGCUCCCCUCUGGGACUCGGCCACCUGUGGAGACCAGACAGGUGCUCCUGCAACAUCUUCAGCUGAGUCUCAGCUGGAAGCCAGCGCCAACCACCAUUCACAUGAGUGAGCAAGCCUGCAGGUGAUUCCAGCCCCAGGGGACGCCGAGUGAGCACAGCCGAGCGUCCCCACCCAGCCCUGUGCAAGUCACCGAUUCCUGAGCAAAUUAAUUUUGGGGCGGUUUGCUAGAUAGCAGUAGAUGACCAGAACCACGCUUAUGCAGACAUAGUUUGCUUUGAUUUGCUUUUUAUAUAAACAGGAUCAUAGCCUAUUGAUCUUCAACUAGCUAAUUUUUUUCGUGUGUAACACUUUGCCCUGGGGUUCUCUCCAUGUCAACAAAUAAAG
rnacentral:lncRNA from 1 species